rnacentral:sRNA from 12 species
UCAAUGGCAGUUGAGUUAAGACUUGACAACGUAAGACCAUCACCGGACAUGAACGAAGAGG